UUUAUAAUCUGGCACCUUCGGUGUCCGAGUUGUAAUCUCUAGAAAUGUUUUCCGCGUUGGACCGCACACAAGUCUGUUGGAAUACAGCGGCAUAGUGGUGAGACCCCCGUAUAUGGUGCGGACGCCCAGCGCUUUGUGAUACAUUUUCGAAGAGUCGAGUUGUUUGGGAAUGCAGCUCAAAUUGGGUGGUAAAUUCCAUCUAAAGCUAAAUAUUGGCGAGAGACCGAUAGCGAACAAGUACCGUGAGGGAAAGAUGAAAAGCACUUUGGAAAGAGAGUUAACAGUACGUGAAAUUGUUGGAAGGGAAACGCUUGAAGUCAGACUUGCUUGCCGAGCAAUCGGUUUGCAGGCCAGCAUCAGUUUUCCGGGAUGGAUAAUGGUAGAGAGAAGGUAGCAGUUUCGGCUGUGUUAUAGCUCUCUGCUGGAUACAUCUUGGGGGACUGAGGAACGCAGUGUGCCUUUGGCGGGGGUUUCGACCUCUUCACACUUAGGAUGCUGGUGGAAUGGCUUUAAACGACCCGUCUU
rnacentral:rRNA from 1 species